rnacentral:rRNA from 1 species
GCAAGUCGAACGAGAGGCCCCUUCGGGGGUACUUCAGUGGCGGACGGGUGAGUAACACGUAGGUGACCUACCCCAAAGCGGGGAAUAACAGUCCGAAAGGAUUGCUAAUACCCCAUGUGGUCAAUGAGUCUAGAUGCUUGUUGACUAAAGGAGCAAUCCGUUUUGGGAGGGGCCUGCGCCCCAUCAGCUAGUUGGUAGGGUAAUGGCCUACCAAGGCUACAACGGGUAGGGGGCCUGAGAGGGUGACCCCCCACAUUGGCACUGACACACGGGCCAAACUCCUACGGGAGGCAGCGUGAGGAAUAUUGCUCAAUGGGCGAAAGCCUGAAGCAGAACGCCGCGUGCGCGAUGAAGGUCUUCGGAUCGUAAAGCGCUUUUGAGAGGGACGAGAUAGGACGGUACCUCUUGAAUAAGUCACGGCUAACUACGUGCCAGCAGCCGCGGUAAAACGUAGGUGGCAAGCGUUAUCCGGAUUCACUGGGCGUAAAGCGAGUGCAGGUGGUUGUGUAAGUUGGAUGUGAAAUUUCCCAGCCUAACUGGGAAGGGUCAUUCAAUACUGCGCGACUUGAGGGCAGAAGAGGGGGGUGGAAUUGCCGGUGUAGUGGUGAAAUGCGUAUAUAUCGAUAUGAACACCUGUGGCGAAGGCGACCCCCUGCUCUGAUCCUGACACUCACACUCGAACGCUAGGGUAGCGAACGGGAUUAGAAACCCCGGUAGUCCUAGCCGUAACGAUGGAUGCUAGGUGUGGGUGGUAUUGACUUCAUCCGUGCCGAAGCUAACGCGAUAAGCAUCCCGCC